rnacentral:rRNA from 1 species
UCGGGAAUCUUGCACAAUGGGCGAAAGCCUGAUGCAGCAACGCCGUGUGAGCGACGAAGGCCCUAGGGUCGUAAAGCUCUGUUGUUGGGGACGAAGGGCGAAGGGUUAAUAGCCCUUAGCCUGACGGUACCCUUCGAGGAAGCCCCGGCUAACUACGUGCCAGCAGCCGCGGUAAUACGUAGGGGGCGAGCGUUGUCCGGUAUUAUUGGGCGUAAAGAGCGUGUAGGCGGCUUGGUAAGUCUGCUGUGAAACCUUGGGGCUCAUCCUCAAGCGUGCAGUGGAUACUGUCAAGCUAGAGGAUGGUAGAGGCCAGUGGAAUUCCCAGUGUAGCGGUGAAAUGCGCAGAUAUUGGGAGGAACACCAGUAGCGAAGGCGGCUGGCUGGGCCAUUCCUGACGCUGAGACGCGAAAGCUAGGGGAGCGAACAGGAUUAGAUACCCGUGUAGUC